AUGGACUCAAUUCUUUCUAAUGGAACUUGGGAACUAACUGAUAGACCAUAUGGUUGUAAACCUGUGGGCUGUAAGUGGGUGUUCAAAAAGAAGCUAAAGCCUGAUGGUACUAUUGAUAAGUACAAGGCGCGGCUAGUGGCCAAGGGCUACACUCAGAAAGAAGGCGAAGAUUACUUUGACACCUAUUCACCCGUUGCUAGAAUGACCACCAUUCAAGUGUUACUUUCCUUGGCUGCCUCUUAUGGUCUUAUCAUUCAUCAAAUGGAUGUAAAGACAGCUUUUCUCAAUGGAGAGUUGGAAGAGGAGAUCUAUAUGGAUCAGCCUGACGGGUUUGUGGUAAAGGGUGAAGAAAGAAAGGUGUGCAAGUUGUCAAAAUCUUUGUAUGGUCUGAAACAGGCACCUAAGCAAUGGCAUGAGAAGUUUGAAAGAACUUUGACUUCUGCAGGAUUUCUCAUUAACGAGGCUGAUAGGUGUGUUUACUAUCGCCAUGGUGGGGGCAAUAGUGUCAUAUUAUGUUUGUAUGUGGACGACAUACUGAUCUUUGGUACAAACAUUAAUGCAAUUAAUGAGGUCAAGUCUUUUCUAUCAAAAAGUUUUGACAUGAAAGAUCUGGGAGAAGCCGAUGUAAUUCUAAACAUCAAACUUAUUAAGGAUGAGAGUGGGAUUACAUUAACUCAAUCUCACUAUGUUGAGAAGGUCUUGAACCGAUUCGGUUUUAUGGAUAGCAAGCCUUCUCCAACACCUUAUGAUCCCAGCGUGACACUCAGAAAGAACAAGAAAGAAACGAGAGAUCAAUUAAGAUACUCUCAAAUUGUCGGUUCACUCAUGUACUUAGCUAGCGCUACAAGACCAGAUAUCUCUUUUGCUGUGAGCAAACUGAGUAGGUUCAUGUCCAACCCGGGUGAUGAUCAUUGGCAUGCACUAGAAAGGGUCUUGCGCUAUCUGAGAGGUACUAUGAGUUACGGAAUUACUUAUUCAGGGCAUCCUGCUGUGCUAGAAGGAUAUAGUGAUUCAAAUUGGAUCUCCGAUGUUGAUGUACUUUACGCAACAAGUGGGUAUGUAUUUACUCAUGGUGGUGGCGCAGUGUCAUGGAGGUCUUGCAAGCAAACCAUAUUGACGAGGUCAACUAUGGAAGCAGAAUUAACUGCUUUGGACACAGCUACUGUUGAGGCAGAAUGGCCGCGUGAGCUCUUGAUGGACUUGCCGGUUGUUGAAAAACCUGUACCGGCUAUUCUUAUGAAUUGUGAUAACCAAACACGUGAAAAGACGUUUGAAGUCUGUCAGGAAGUUGAAAACUCCGGAGUAAUAACUGUUACGUAUAUACAAACAGACAAAAACCUGGCAGAUCCCUUUACAAAGGGACUAUCACGAAAUGUGAUAGAUAUUGCAUCGAGGGAGAUGGGUAUGAGACCCAUAGAUGUUACACCAUAG
rnacentral:rRNA from 1 species